GUGCUCAUUUUGGCAGAAUGCAUACUAAAAUUGGAAUGAUAUAGAGAAAAUUAGCAUUUCGCUGUAUAAGGAUGACACGCCAAUUCAUGAAGCAUUCCAUUUUUAC
rnacentral:snRNA from 1 species